rnacentral:lncRNA from 1 species
CUUCCAUGGAUUUGGGAUUGAUCUGAGGGCCAUAGAAGGCCCAGGGUUGGUUUUCCUGACUGCAGAUAGAAACAUAUCCCUCAGGAGCAGGCCGGGUAUGGUGGCUCACAUCUGUAAUUCCAGCACUUUGGGAGGCCAAGGCAUGAAGUAGAAUGCCCAGGUGCCAGGAGUGAGGGAAAGACCAAAGAGAAGUAGAUCUACAGGAAUAAAGCUCCAAUUAGCAUCUCAAAGUAAUAUUCCUCUCCAUAUGCCUUUAAUUACUUUAUAUAUGUAUAUAAAGUACAUAUACUU